CCUACGGGAGGCAGCAGUGGGGGAUAUUGCACAAUGGGGGAAACCCUGAUGCAGCGACGCCGCGGGAAGGAAGACGGUCCUAUGGAUUGUAAACUACUGUCACAAGGGACGAAGAUGACGGGACCGGGGGAGGAAGCGCGGGCGAACUACGUGCCAGCAGCCGCGGUAAGAGGUAGGGAGCGAGCGUGUUCCGGAAUUACUGGGGGUAAAGGGAGCGUAGGCGGGGAUGCAAGUUGGGUGUUAAAUCUACCGGCUCAACUGGUAGUCGCACUCAAAACUGCCGCUCUUGAGUGCAGUAGAGGCCGGCGGAAUUCCUAGUGUAGCGGUGACAUGCGUAGAUAUU
rnacentral:rRNA from 1 species